rnacentral:tRNA from 1 species
AUUUAAAUAGCUUAUAAAUAGAGUGUAAUAUUGAAGAUAUUAAGGUGAUAAUUUAUCUUUAAGUA